GAAGCUGUAAUGUGGAAACAGUGGGUGGGUGUAGCCUGCUGUUCUGUGACAGAGGUGGGGAUAGAGGAGGAGAGGAAGCAGAUGCCCAGAGAGGAGCUGAGACUGGGACAGGCAUCUCUUGGCUGGGACCGGGGAACCGCCCACUUCUCUGGUUUUUAUUGUUUCUGGAAUCUGACACUUUCCUAUCCUCCGGCAUUAAGGAGCAGCACUCUGUACCUGGUUGUCAUCACCAAGAACCUUGUACCGACAUCUGGGAGGUUCCUCGUGCUGCAGUCUACUCUCAUUUGCGUAUAGUGCCUGACUCCAUUUAUCUGGGAGCCUGGAGGCCUGUGUCCUGCUUGGUUUUGCAUCUCUGGUCUCUAGUACAGUGGAGAGCUUACCCGUGUCCAUAAACAUCUCUGGAGUAAAUGACUGAAAGAGCAAAUAAAUGAUUAAACCAGCUCA